AUUAACUGAGGCUCUGGUUGCCUCGGGAAAGCAAUCGUACUCGCUUCAGUGCGCUCGAGGAACGCGUUUGGUGCUCGCUUGCCACAAGAACCGAAUAUAGAAUGACAAGAGACAGGCGUCGACGGGUGUUGGUGCAGGCGCCUUGCGGUAACCGUUAAGGAAAGUCAGUUUAGUCGCGUGCGUAAACGUUGUUUGUCGAGUAUUUGAGCCGUUUUCUCGAUAAGAGGUUGAACAAACGUUGUAGAAAGGAUAUUAUUUGUUUCGGGUUGGAUCUUAGAGUGGCAGUGAAGGGUGUCGAGGGCAAAUGCAAGCGCACUGGGACAGGCGUGGUAUCUGGGGACACACCAGCAGCUGCAGACGCCAGCUCUAUUGACAGGGCGAGAACGUACAGCUUAUGCUUGUUGUUUUACUGGAUGAUGAGUAGUCGCGAAAUUCACAUAGCGUGGUGUACGUAUUCGAAGAGCAUUGGAAUUUUUGGUCUGUUUUAUGUAUGUCUGCUGGAAUAUUGGAAAUAGGGUCGUGCUGUGGUUUUGGCGUUCAAGCCAGCCUGCACAGCACGUAGAAGUGCUGCGGCGCGACGAUGCUUCUCUGCGCUCGUGCCAGUUAGAUGAGGCUGUUUCCAAGGGUCUCAAGAACGCUGAACAGUGUCUUCGAGGGUUUUCGCAUGGGCAGCACCGGCUCAGAGGGUGGCACUCAGCACGAACGCUUUGCCGCCAGCCGUGGCGACCUGAUACAACCGGAGCAGCAGUUUUCUUGGACAAGCUGCAGCACCAGUUGUCCGGCGGAAAGCCCUAAAUAGAGCCCGCUAUUCGUUCUUGCACGCGCUGCAGUGGAGGUUUACUGGGACAAGAUGUUUCGGUUUCAUGCAACUCCGUUUCAGAACCGUAUUCGAUACAUUGCCGGAAGGUUUCCCUGCCGUAGCUCGCGUCUCAGCGAGAGCGGCGCUCGACGCCGGCUACAGACUCAGUACAUGCUUCAUGACCCGGGUUUUGCAGCACCGCUGAUGAAUACGGUGGCUCCUGCGACGGCUGCGAUGUCGCUAACGACAGCGUUUGCCAGUGCAUAUGUUUGCAUUGCAUCGCGCUGCGUGCCCGCGACUCUACCCGGAAACUCCGCUUAGCUCCGCUGUGCUCUUGCACAACGCCCUAACGGACAAUGAUAUGGUAGGCUGCAGCGCAUCGUCUUUGUACUGGGAGAGAUGCUACACUGAGAAACGACGGAUGCGACAAUAGAGCUCUCUAAAACCGCGAAGCUGGUAUCGCGGAUGCGCGUACGCAAACGUAUGCCGGUAUCCCGCGGCAGACAAGUGUAAGCGUUCUUGAUGGAUGACGCGAGGUUGAUGCAUCGAAGAGGCCACUCCGGGAUGCGGGUUUGCUUUCGACAAGCAGGCAUGCGUAUGUAUACUUUUAUUACCGUAAGCAACGAGUUCGAUGUCGCGCGCGCAGCAAAACUUGCACUUAGGAGAGUUUGGAGCUCGAAUUGAGACGCACUGCAAAGCAGGGCACGCUUAUGGGGCAAUUUGUGAAAAUAUUCGCUUUCCAAAUGGAGAAGAAGGAGGGCGCUUCUCCCCGCCGCCUCCGGCGGAAUUCACGAAGACACGCAUUUUUCGAUUCGAAAUUCGUACGUAAAGACGAACUGGAACUCCAU
rnacentral:misc_RNA from 1 species